AUAUCCACGGGUAGCAGCAGGCGCGAAACUUUCCCACUCGAGACUUUCGGAGGAGGUAAUGACCAGUUUCAUGUGAAGCUUAUGCUUCUGUGAAUAGGAUCACACUUUUCCAGCUGCGGUGAAACCUAGCAGAGGGCCAGUCUGAUGCCAGCAGCUGCGGUAAUUCUAGCUCUGCGAGUUUGCUCCCAUAUUGUUGCAGUU
rnacentral:rRNA from 1 species